ACGCCAGAGCGACGCGCGACCAAGCGUGAGGCUGAAUGAGAAGGGAAAGAGAGACAUCCAGCCGUUGCCAAGAGACGGACUGUUCUGACGCGCGCCCAGAUGGGCCCGUCUCCCUGGUGAUCGGGAAGGUGGGGUGACGUUCGCGCGGAGAGGAAGGAGGGGUGAAACAACCAUCCCCCUCCGCUUGAUCCACCACGUGAUCGUCUGUUAUCAUUGCGAGGGUCGCCCCUGCGGGAGCGCAGCACCUAGGAUUAACCCUCCGCGUGCGGGACCUCCGCGGCCAGGUCCUGCCUGCUCUUUCCUGUUCCAUUGAUGCCCUCUGGCAGUGAAUCUGAUACCAAGACUUCUGAAGUCUUAGGACAAAUCAAUUAAUUUCAAUUAUCUUCAAUCAAAUUUUAGUCUCAAAAGUCUAGAAUUAUGUUCAAGAAGGUGAAAUGUGCUAUAAAUUUGGGGAACUAUCCAAGUAUUUGCUCAGUAGGCACUAUGAAUAUCAUGACAUUAUAAACCAAAGGAGUGAAGAUUUGAGUAAUGUUGACCAACUGCUGUCCUUAUUUGAUCUAUCUGACUAUUGCAAUGCUUAAUCUUGUAAUAAUUAUAAUGGCCAUUAAUUAUACACACAAACAAAUAACAUAGCAAAGUAAUCACAUACUUUAGAAGUGGUUAACCAACAUAUGCCCAAUACCUAUUAAUUUUGUGUAUACCAGUUGCACUUUUUUCAUUAUAUACAGCAUGUUUGAAAUUCUAAUUUCCCUUUACUUUCUCCAAGCAUUAUGAAUUAAUACUGUGAACUUCUUGUGAACUUGUAAACUUUAUUUCUUAUCAUAUAUGAUCUUGUGACAAAGAAAGGCAAGUUAGAAAAAUAAAUAAAUAAAUAAAUAACCUGAGUGUCUGAAAAACAGUAGGCUAUAAGGCAGAAGAAAACAAAUAAUUAUUGCAUUAUUUCAUCAUUUCAAUUUAUUUUCAUUAACUGAAUAAACAUCACUCACAUGCAAUAUAUUUUAGAAUAUACUCCUUCCUUUAACAACAGGACCUACAUUUACCACUCUGAAAUGGAAAGUAUAUCUGAGGAUACAUGGGGAAAAGAAACUUGUGUAUAUUUCAGAAACAAGACUCAUGUCAAACAGUUUCUCAGUCAUCAAGCAACUGUCCUGCUCCUUUGAAUGAGUUGCAGGCAGGGACAUCUGCAGGGAGGUAAAAAAAGACAAGAUGGCAGCUGAAACCACAUGAUCAAGCCCCCUCCCCCCAAAACACACAAAAUAUAUUUUAAAAGGUCAGGGCUUUGAUCACCCAGUUGUGGCCAACAUCUUGACUUUUUUGCCUCCCUCCCCCCAAUCACCCCUGGCCACAGGCAACUGAAAAGUAUAGUUGAAAGUCCAUAUACGAAAUUAAUAGAAUCAGGUCUCAGUGUCACACUGCAAUCAGCUCAAGCUGAGCUACGUAAGUCCAUAGCUGUGGAUAAGGGGAUGUCACUGUCCAUGACUGAGAUUGUCACUGAGCAGAGAUAGGAAAUCUUUUUUGUCACUGGGCCAGGAUUGGUGAUGUACUGAUGCCACCAGAAUGGAAGGGGCCAUUAUGUAUUUGGCCAUUUUUCAUUUUCAGUUAUUUGGCAUUGGGUCUGACCUGAAGUAGGUAUGUAAUACCUCAUAGAUUUAACACACCUUGUUAAAUCUUAGAAUGAAUGAAUGAAUGAAUGAAUGAAUGAAUGAUGGAAAAUAUAAAGCAGCUGUUGUGGUGUUUUGGUAGCAAAGUCCUGGAGGGGAGGAUUCUGAGGGCCACAGCAAUGGGAUAAAGCCUUUUUAUAGGUUCUGAAAUAUGAGUUGCCCACUUUGGCCAUUCAGAGAUACCUGCAAUUCUAGGAUCCUUAAGAGAUGCAGUGCUUGAUGUGAAUUAAUUCAGUUUUUCAUGGACUUUUUUUUCAUUUUUUCAUGAAAAACAGGGUGAAGGCUAGCAUUAGUUAUAUAUCUGAAAUGUAGAAUGAAGAAUUGGAAUAUCCAAUCUUGGAAAAUCAGUAUGUCCACAACUUAAGGAAUGAAAGAUAUACUCUCAUUUAAGGAUAAAGUUAAUUCAUCAGAAAAUAUUGUUACAUGUUUAUUGAAUCCUCAAACAAUGUUUAGAAAAGUUUGGACAUCAGAUUUUUGGUGUUGGCGUUGUACGGAAUUUGAGGGUCCUUUAACUCAUAUGAUUUGGUCCUGUCCAGUUGUAGCUCCAUUUUGGUUUCAAGUGAUAGGUUGUGUUUAAUACAAUUUUGGAAAGAAACAUAAAAGUUAAAGAUAUAAAUUUGAUGUUAAAUUAUACUCCCAAGAUAUGGAAUUCAUUUUGUUAAGGACUUUGGCUUUAUCUACCCUGGUAAAGAGGAUAAUCUUAUGUAAAUGGAACAAAGCUUACCUUCCUGAUGUUAAGGAAUAGAUUCAAGAUACGUAUUUGCUAUGUAUAUUUAGAAUGUAUUUAUACUCCAAAACUAAGAAUGUCUUCUCAUUUUUGGGGUAUAAAGACAGUCUAAAAAUAGAAUAAGCAAUAUGUUCCUAUGUGGUCUAAAUUUAAUGAUAAAUUUAAAGAUAGAAUUAAUCCCAUGUUGAUACCAAAUUGUCACUGUAUGGAUCUUUUUAUUUAUAAUAGGGAUUUUUUAAAUGUUUAGCUUAUUUUAAUCAGGGUAUAUAGAAUUCUUUCUAUUGUAUAAUCACUAAUGUAUUUUGCUGGUGGCAUAUCUCACCAAUAAAAAUUUUUUUUAAAACA